CAAGUCGAACGGUAGAUGUCCUUUCGGGGACAUUGAGAGUGGCGAACGGGUGAGUAACGCGUAGGUUAUCUGCCCUCAAGCGGGGGACAACCCGGGGAAACCCGGGCUAAUACCGCAUGUGCACGGCAACGUGUAAAGAUGGCGCAAGCUGUCGUUUGAGGAUGAGCCUGCGUCCUAUUAGCUUGAUGGUGUGGUAACGGCGCACCAUGGCGAUGAUAGGUAGGCGGCCUUAACGGGUGGUCGCCCACACUGGGAUUGAGAUACGGCCCAGACUCCUACGGGAGGCAGCAGUCGAGAAUAGUCUACAAUGGACGAAAGUCUGAUAGUGCGACGCCGCGUGAACGAAGAGACCUUUCGGGGUGUAAAGUUCUUUUCUGUGCGAGCAGGGGCAUAUACAGUAAUAUGGUGUGUGUCUUGAUAUUAGUACAGGAAUAAGCCACGGCUAACUCCGUGCCAGCAGCCGCGGUAACACGGGGGUGGCAAGCGUUGUCCGGAAUUACUAGGCGUAAAGGGCAGGUAGGCGGAUCAGUAAGUCGGACGUUUAAUCCUCGGUCUUAAGCUGUGACAUGCGUUUGAUACUGUUGAUCUAGAAUGCGGCGGGGGAAGACGGAAUUCCGGGUGUAGCGGUGGAAUGCGCAGAUAUCCGGAGGAACACCGAAGGCGAAGGCAGUCUUCCAUACCGUAAUUGACGCUGAACUGCGAAGGUGUGGGGAUCAAACAGGAUUAGAUACCCUGGUAGUCCGCACAGUAAACGAUAGACACUGGGUGUUGGGGGAGAUGAAUCCUUCAGUGCCGCAGCUAACGCCGCUAAGUGUCUCGC
rnacentral:rRNA from 1 species